GACGAACGCUGGCGGCGUGCUUAACACAUGCAAGUCGAACGGUGAAGCGCCUUCCUUUUUGGUGGGUGUGGAUGAGUGGCGAACGGGUGAGUAACACGUGAGUAACCUGCCCCCUUCUUCCGGAUAACCGCAUGAAAGUGUUGCUAAUACGGGAUAUUCUGGGUCUGUCGCAUGAUGGGUCUGGGAAAGAUAUUGUUUCGGUGGGGGAUGGGCUCGCGGCCUAUCAGCUUGUUGGUGUGGUGAUGGCCUACCAAGGCGGUGACGGGUAGCCGGCCUGAGAGGGAGGCCGGCCGAGAGGGGGACGGGACACGGUCCGGACUAGUACGGGAGGCGACAGUGGCGGAUAGUGGACGAUGGGAGGAAGGCUGAAGCAGCGACGCCGCGUGGGAGAUGGGGGCCGUCGGGUAGUAAACCUCUUUCGCCAGUGAAGCAGGCCUGCCUGGUUUGUGGGUGGGUUGACGGUAGCUGGAGAAGAAGCACCGGCUAACUACGUG
rnacentral:rRNA from 1 species